rnacentral:snoRNA from 1 species
UGGCAAUCAGAAACCAACUUUUUGGACCAAUAUCAAUGACCACAUCAGUUUGGAAAUGAUUGCAAUAUUAAAAUUAAAUUUUGUGCCAAAUAUGUGACUACUUAUGCAAGUUGCAACCAUUUGCUCAAU